GGUGUGGCCAAUGUAAUUACCAGCAUCAGGUAAGAGCGGGCGUGGAAGGCAGGAGAGAAAAUUGUUAGUGCAGUGUGAUCUGGGAAAGAUUUGAGUUGCUGUUUCUAGCUUUGCAGAUGGAAGGGGCCACAAGAGAAGGAGUAAUAAUGGCUUCUAGAAGCUGGGAAAGGCCAGGAUACGGAUUUUUCCCUAGAACCUUCAGAAAGUAUGUCAUCUUGCCAACGCCUAGUGAGACCCAGAACUCUCUACCAAGACUUUCGUCUUCAAAUUUUCUUCCUCCUUUUUGAAUCCUGCUCCUUUUUGCCCACACAGCAACUCUAAAUUUCUCCCAGGCUCUCAGGAUUCUUUCGGACCUCAUGUAGCUACUGAGGGCAAUUAUGGCUAAAAGACUAAGCUGAAAGGAGCUUCGAGAAAUUCUGCAAAGCACUAGUCACUGUAAACUCUGAAAGGCGCUGUUGGCUCUCGACCUCAUGAAGAUAAACUUCCCAGAAAUAGUCUGAGUUGAAUAUGGACCAAAGCUGGUAGGCAUUCAGUAUGGACUUGAUGUCUGCAGGAGUUGAAGAGGAAAAAAAAAAAAGAGUAAACAGUCACUCAACUUUGGUCAAAGAUGAGAAUUUUCACCAAGAAUUGUAUCAUACAGUAGGAAAUCUAAGUACACACAAGCAGCUGCUCUAUUCUCAAAAACCAACGGAGAAAAACAUCAAACUGGUUAUCUGGCAAAUGUAGUAAAAUAAUAACCAAAAAUUUGGCUCAGCUCUUUUACUUUACAGUUUUGUUGCAUUCUCAGUUCAAACAUUGUAAAAAUAAACUGCUUCGCUUCGACUUUUGGAAAUUCCUGUUUCCAUGUUAUUUUUGAUGACUUAAAAGGGAGCAUACCAUUCUGAAUUUCACAGUGACCGAUGUGUUUGUACCACGAAGAGACUUUUAUUUGAGGAAGCAGCCAAAAGCAAUUAAGGAAGACUGUAUUCAUCCCUGCAGAAUAUACCCUGCUAAACUAAUUGGAACAUUAUACACUACAAUCUUGGCAAAAUGUACCAACUAUGAAGAGAUGUCAACAUCUUAAUAAUUCUGUGAUGGCCAUAGGAGGACAAACAGUUGUUGUUGACAAGCGUUUGAUCUUCAUAAGUCUGCUGCUGUGACAAACUACAAACUAUAUUUUAUCCUCUACUUCUGUGAUCCUUCACCCAGAUAAGAACCAACAUCUGGCAUCUUUUCAAAUUUUCUUUCUUUUUUUUUUUUCCUUUUACAUCAGUGGCAAAAGUUAAAAAGGUAACAUGAAAAGAAAGAUGAAACAGGAAUACCGUUCAAAUUGAAGGACUGUAGUUUCAAGUUUCAAUCCCGUAUCAAAACAUCUCCGCCUUAUCUUCUUUUCCAGUCAUCACAAAUGAUGAGUAUAAAGAGAUACACAAACAUCAGUACAAUGCUGUGUGUGUACUGCAAUCCAAAAAUCACAGUGACAAAAUUAUACCUGACAUAUCAAAAACCGACAGUCACAUCCUCAAGAUUUCCUUCUCUCGUUCCCAUGGACCUUCUUGAUUAAUAAAUCUGACACAUAAAAAGCAUCUAUAUGACUAAAGUGCCAGUUACUGGAAAGACCGUUUUGAUCUAUUUCUCAACUUUUAGAAGAAAUAUUCUCUUUUUCAUGAAUACAGGAUCCGUUCACUCACUGCCAGCUUUCAAAUGACCACCUCUUGAAGUUUAAUUUUAAGUUUUAAAUAAAUAUUGUAUGCAUGCAGAAUAAUUACGAUGCUCUUGAGAGACACUGUAUAAUGACAUUGAUUCUUUUUUAUCUGAAAAUGCCAAGCCCUUAAGGCAGCAAAGUCUGCGUUUGCCACAGAUGUGGGAAGGUUCAUUCCAUGUGUUAAAUUUCAGAAGGGGCAUGUGUGGCACUUUCAUUAAAACACUAGCGGUAUUUCCUGAGUAAACUCCGAUUUUCAUGACUUUAAAACUUCUUUCCGUAAGACUCAUCUGGUCUAAGCUACAGAAAGGAACUCAGUGGCCUUCAAUAUAUACAUAUAUAUAAUAUAUAUAUGUAAAUAUAUAGGGAGAGAACAUUCAUUUUAUAUUAAAU
ensembl:lncRNA